rnacentral:rRNA from 1 species
CCCUACGGGGGGCAGCAGUGGGGAAUAUUGCACAAUGGGGGAAACCCUGAUGCAGCGACGCCGCGUGAGUGAAGAAGUAUUUCGGUAUGUAAAGCUCUAUCAGCAGGGAAGAAAAUGACGGUACCUGACUAAGAAGCCCCGGCUAACUACGUGCCAGCAGCCGCGGUAAUACGUAGGGGGCAAGCGUUAUCCGGAUUUACUGGGUGUAAAGGGAGCGUAGACGGCAUGGUAAGCCAGAAGUGAAAAUCCGGGGCUCAACGCUGCGGAUUGCUUUUAGAACUAU